GAGAAUAAAGGAGAAACCUGUUGUAGAAUCUGCACCAUGUCUGAUGGUGAGAAGCAGCAUGAGCUCCUGCCUGUGGUGGAGGAGGUGAACAACGGCAUUCACUCUCCAGAGUCUAAUGUGCUGCUGUCCAUCUUGGAAGAGUUAAAGAAGUUGCAAACAGCUCUGUUUCUACACCUUAACUGCGGAAAGAAGCAAGGGAAUUCCUCAUGCUGGGCCAGGAAGAUCAACAAAGUUUUCUUCAUCUUCUACCUAAUAACUGUGUUGCUCUUUUUGUCCUUCAUCUUCAUGGAGUGGAACUCCUAGAAACUUGAAACUGCUUUUAUUGUGUAGAUUUUGUGUUGCAACAUUUAAGACUUUGUGAGUAAGCUCAGCAAAUCAUGUCAUGUGUGUUUUGAGCUCAUAGGUUGGAAGUUCAAGUUUAUUCAACUUUUAUCGAUAUUUUUCUCAUAUAAGGGGUCGCAAAAGAGCCAGCAAGACCAAGUGGGCCCCUACAUGGUUUCAAAGUGGGCAGAAAAUGUGGGCCCCGCAUGGGUUUGUCUGCAGUUUCCGUGGUGGCCCCACCUGUGGUUGCCUACAUUUGCCUAAGUGGGUUGGCGGGCUGUGCUGCCCCGCCGCUAGGUGGGCAGAAUAGUGUGCUCCACCGCCCGAGGUCAGGCAGAGCAAGUGAGCGGCAUCGCCCAGGGGGUGGGGGAGCUAACUAAACUGCGGACGAACCCAGUUGGGACCCACAUUUUCUUCCCACUUUUAAACCAUAGGGGGUGCACUUGGCCUAGCUGGCUGGUAAGGGAUGGGACUGAUUCAACAUUGUGCUGAUGGUUCUUGCUUGAGUCAAGCUUUAGUUUCUACCUUGAAGAAUGCAGAAUGUACACCAAAACAGAGUGUGUCCUAAGGCAAAAGACACAAAAUACAAACUUUAUUAGCAAUCAAACUCUCCAACUGUCAGGCUACAUUCCCACCGCCCGCAGCAACUCACGCUCAAGCGGCCACUUUCCAUGAAAAGUCUGUGGAAACACCUGAAAAUCCGUGUUUUGGGCUUCUGCGCUCAAAACCCGCUCAUGCGUCACGACGCAAUUUUUAAAGUCUGCUCUCCGGCUCUAUGUACAAACCGGCCGUUCAUUAAACACACUCUGAAAGGUCAACCAGCUGAACUUUUGGCUGCUUGAACGUCUAACUGCUGAACUUUGACCAAUCAGGGAUUUGGAUUUGGUAGCAACGUAUGAGUUGUGCCACGGUGCCAACUGUUUGAAAAGUGAUCAUGAAGGAGAAAGAAGUAUUUAUGCCAAGCUGGAAUUACAUGACGCCAAGUCUUCCUAUAUCAGAAUAGAGCUGUGAAAGAAAAGGCCUUGAGCAAGAUUCACAAGAUUUGCCCCAAGCCUCUUCCAACUGUAGUUGGUGGCCAUGUGUUAAACACCAAAAACAAAAGAAGGAGAAGCCUCGCCCUGCCGCCUCCUGCUUGUCCGGUGAACACCAAAGGCUGAAUACGCAUUCAUGAAACCUUGUAAAGCGCAUUGUUGAACGUGCAAACACAUGCCUGAUGGGAACAUAGCAUCAUAAAGUAAUUAUGACAACUCAUAACAAGUACUCUGUAUAAAAUGUUUUGUUUUUAGUUUAUGUUUGGCCUGAAAAAAA